rnacentral:rRNA from 1 species
GAUGAACGCUAGCGGGAGGCUUAACACAUGCAAGUCGAGCGGCAAGGUUUUCGGACCCUAGAGCGGCGCACGGGUGAGUAACGCGUAUGCAACCUACCCUAUACAGGGGGAUAGCCCGGAGAAAUUCGGAUUAAUAUCCCAUGGUACUAUUGAGUCGCAUGGCUUAAUGGUUAAAGAUUUAUCGGUAUAGGAUGGGCAUGCGUGACAUUAGUUUGUUGGCGGGGUAACGGCCCACCAAGACUACGAUGUCUAGGGGUUCUGAGAGGAUGAUCCCCCACACUGGUACUGAGACACGGACCAGACUCCUACGGGUGGCUG